rnacentral:rRNA from 1 species
GACGAACCGUGCGAACGUUAUUCGGAAUCACUGGGCUUAAAGCGCGUGUAGGCGGGUGGGCGCGUCGGCCGCUGAAAUCCCCCGGCUCAACCGGGGAAGGGGCGCCGAGACGGCCGGCCUGGAGGGACGUAGGAGGGGCUGGAACUUCCGGUGGAGCGGUGAAAUGCGUUGAGAUCGGAAGGAACGCCCGUGGCGAAAGCGAGGUCCUGGACGCCUACUGACGCUGAGACGCGAAAGCCAGGGGAGCGAACGGG